rnacentral:rRNA from 1 species
AUUGAACGCUGGCGGCACGCCUAACACAUGCAAGUCGAGCGGUAGCAGGACCUGUAGCAAUACAGGUUGCUGACGAGCGGCGGACGGGUGAGGAAUACGUAGGAACCUGCCUUAUAGUGGGGGAUAACUAAGGGAAACUUUAGCUAAUACCGCAUAAUCUCGAGAGAGGAAAGCUGCCGCAAGGUGGCGCUAAAAGAGGGGCCUGCGUCCGAUUAGCUAGUUGGGGAGGUAAGAGCUCACCAAGGCGAUGAUCGGUAACUGGUCUGAGAGGACGACCAGUCACACUGGGACUGAGACACGGCCCAGACUCCUACGGGAGGCAGCAGUGGGGAAUAUUGGACAAUGGGGGCAACCCUGAUCCAGCGAUGCCGCGUGAGUGAAGAAGGCCUUCGGGUCGUAAAGCUCUUUAGGUUGGGAAGAAGGGUGUUAGAGGAAAUGCUAAUACUUUGACGGUACCGACAGAAUAAGCACCGGCAAACUCUGUGCCAGCAGCCGCGGUAA